UACAGAGGUGGCAAGCGUUGUUCGGAAUUACUGGGCGUAAAGGGCGCGUAGGCGGCCUUCUAAGUCAGACGUGAAAUCCCCAGGCUUAACUUGGGAACUGCGUCUGAUACUGGGAGGCUUGAGUGCGGGAGAGGGAUGUGGAAUUCCUGGUGUAGCGGUGAAAUGCGCAGAUAUCAGGAGGAACACCGGUGGCGAAGGCGGUUCUCUGGGCCUGUACUGACGCUGAGGAGCGAAAGCGUGGGGAGCGAACAGG
rnacentral:rRNA from 1 species